GGGGUUGUGGCUCAGCAAUAGAGCGCUCACCUAGCAUGUGGGAGGCCCUGGGUUCGAUCCUCUGCACCA
rnacentral:tRNA from 1 species